rnacentral:rRNA from 1 species
GACAGAGGGUGCAAACGUUGUUCGGAAUUACUGGGCGUAAAGCGCGUGUAGGCGGUUCGGUAAGUCGGAUGUGAAAGCCCCGGGCUCAACCCGGGAAGUGCACUCGAUACUGCCGAGCUAGAGUAUCGGAGAGGUUGGUGGAAUUCUCGGUGUAGAGGUGAAAUUCGUAGAUAUCGAGAGGAACACCGGUGGCGAAGGCGGCCAACUGGACGAAUACUGACGCUGAGACUCGAAAGCGUGGGGAGCAAAACGG